rnacentral:rRNA from 1 species
CCUACGGGUGGCUGCAGUGAGGAAUAUUGGUCAAUGGACGAGAGUCUGAACCAGCCAAGUAGCGUGAAGGAUGAAUGCCCUAUGGGUUGUAAACUUCUUUUAUGUGGGAAUAAAAUGUUCCACGUGUGGGAUUUUGUAUGUACCAUAUGAAUAAGGAUCGGCUAACUCCGUGCCAGCAGCCGCGGUAAUACGGAGGAUCCGAGCGUUAUCCGGAUUUAUUGGGUUUAAAGGGAGCGUAGGUGGAUUGUUAAGUCAGUUGUGAAAGUUUGCGGCUCAACCGUAAAAUUGCAGUUGAAACUGGCAGUCUUGAGUACAGUAGAGGUGGGCGGAAUUCGUGGUGUAGCGGUGAAAUGCUUAGAUAUCACGAAAAACUCCGAUUGCGAAGGCAGUUCACUGGACUGCAACUGACACUGAGGCUCGAAAGUGUGGGUAUCAAACAGGAUUAGAUACCCCAGUAGUC